rnacentral:rRNA from 1 species
UACGUAGGGGCCUAGCGUUGUCCGGAUUUAUUGGGCGUAAAGAGCGUGUAGGCGGCUAGGUAGGUCCGUUGUGAAAACUCGAGGCUCAACCUCGAGACGCCGAUGGAAACCAUCUAGCUAGAGUCCGGAAGAGGAGAGUGGAAUUCCUGGUGUAGCGGUGAAAUGCGCAGAUAUCAGGAGGAACACCGGUGGCGAAGGCGGCUACCUGGACAGAAACUGACGCUGAGGCACGAAAGCUAGGGGAGCAAACAGG